UUGUUUUGGAGCCUAGCCUUUGCCUUGGUUGGUUCUUACUUGUUACUACUUUGCUUCGUACGGGCGUUGAAGCUUUACCUCACCGGAGGUUCCAAGGAGAAGACGACACUACACUGAUACAGCGAAACAAAUUACAUAUUAUGGCGCCUUUUGGCGGGAAAUCCAUAGUCGACGCUGUUUCAGGCAUCGGAGGGAACGAAGUUGGCCGGGCUCUGGCCGCGGUGGCCGCCGCUCUCUUGGUCCGCCUCUUCGCUGGACCUGGCAUCGCCCUCCUACCUGAAAACGAAGCUGACGAUGAUUACGCUGAGACGGAAGACGGUGGUGAUUCUUCUCCGGGUAAAAUUCGCCCGGAGACAAUCCGUUGGAGGAACAUCACCUGCUCUCUCUCCGAUAAGUCUUCCAAAUCGGUGCGGUUCUUGUUGAAAAAUGUCUCUGGAGAAGCAAAACCAGGGAGGUUGCUAGCGAUUAUGGGUCCUUCUGGAUCUGGGAAGACAACAUUGCUCAAUGUUCUUGCUGGACAGCUUGGUUCAUCACCACGUUUGCAUUUGUCUGGUCUCUUGGAGUUCAAUGGCAAAUCCAGCUCUAGCAGGGCUUAUAAGCUUGCCUUUGUGAGACAGGAGGAUCUCUUUUUUUCGCAGUUGACUGUCAGGGAAACACUUUCUUUCGCAACCGAGCUUCAGCUUCCGGAGAUCUCUUCUGCUGAUGAAAGGGACGAGUAUGUGAACAACCUCCUGCUCAAACUUGGUCUGGUCAGCUGUGCAGAUUCAUGUGUUGGCGAUGCAAAAGUCCGUGGGAUCAGCGGUGGAGAAAAGAAGCGGCUGUCACUUGCGUGUGAAUUGAUCGCUAGUCCCUCUGUCAUAUUUGCUGAUGAACCCACAACUGGGCUUGACGCCUUCCAGGCUGAGAAAGUGAUGGAGACAUUGCAAAAGCUUGCACAGGAUGGACACACUGUCAUCUGCUCCAUACACCAGCCUAGAGGUUCCGUGUACGCUAAAUUUGACGACAUUGUGUUACUUACAGAAGGAACUUUAGUCUAUGCUGGCCCUGCAGGGAAAGAACCUCUGUCAUAUUUCGGGAACUUCGGGUUCCUUUGCCCAGAGCACGUAAACCCGGCUGAGUUUCUUGCUGAUCUUAUAUCAGUUGACUACAGUUCUUCAGAGAGUGUCUACUCUUCGCAGAAGAGAGUACAUGCUCUUGUUGAUGCGUUCUCUCAGCGUUCAUCAUCGGUUCUUUAUGCCACUCCCCUCGGCAUUAAAGAUGAAACAAAGAACAGCAUGAAACCUCGCAGAAAAGCCAUUGUUGAGAGAAAAGAUGGUUGGUGGAGGCAGUUUUUUUUGCUGCUUAAGCGUGCAUGGAUGCAGGCUUCUCGAGAUGGGCCAACAAACAAAGUUCGUGCAAGAAUGUCUGUUGCAUCUGCUCUGAUAUUUGGGUCCGUUUUCUGGAGAAUGGGGAAGUCUCAGACGUCAAUUCAGGACAGAAUGGGUUUGCUUCAGGUUGCUGCAAUAAACACGGCAAUGGCAGCUCUCACAAAGACAGUUGGUGUCUUUCCUAAAGAGCGUGCCAUUGUGGAUAGAGAACGGUCCAAAGGGUCUUAUUCUUUAGGCCCUUACCUGCUCUCCAAAACAAUAGCUGAGAUUCCCAUUGGAGCUGCAUUUCCUCUGAUGUUUGGUGCUGUACUAUACCCCAUGGCUCGCCUCAAUCCCGCUUUGUCAAGAUUUGGAAAGUUUUGUGGGAUAGUGACUGUGGAGUCUUUUGCUGCUUCUGCAAUGGGUCUAACUGUUGGAGCUAUGGUUCCAAGCACAGAAGCUGCAAUGGCUGUGGGACCAUCUCUCAUGACAGUUUUCAUCGUGUUUGGAGGUUACUAUGUCAAUGCAGACAACACCCCAAUCAUCUUCCGUUGGAUUCCUCGUGCUUCAUUGAUCAGAUGGGCCUUCCAGGGACUCUCCAUCAACGAAUUCAGCGGCCUCAAGUUCGAUCAUCAGAACUCAUUUGACGUCCAAACUGGAGAACAGGCAUUAGAAAUACUGUCGUUUGGAGGAAGACAGAUAAGGGAGACGAUAGCAGCUCAAAGCCGGAUUCUGAUGUUCUGGUAUAGCGCCACGUACCUUCUCCUGGAGAAAAACAAGCCAAAGUAUCAAAAGCUUGAGCUUCUUCUUGACAAUGGAGAUACCGAGAAUCCAAGAGUGCAGCUGGAUGAACCAGAGGUUGAUCAAGGGGAGGAGGAGCCUGAAGAUGAUCUCAAGCAGCCAUUUGACGAGCAAAGUAAAACAUCGGACUCAGAUGAGCUUGACGAAAUCCGUCCCUUUGUCCUCGAAGGUUUGUAAAAUUGUAGUUGCCUCCUACUAAUAAUCAUUGAAAAGAACAUACUAAGAACAACAGGCACAAUAACUAAAAGGUCGCAAGUGAGAGAGAAUAAAGGGAUUUGAAUAAAAGAGUUGCUCCUCUUACCUCUCAAUGCCUUAAACCCAAUUGUAGAUUUUAGGUGAAGAAAAGGUCCAUUGCGGUGACUUUCAAACAAAACAAAAAAACUGUGAAGAAGGAAAGAACGUAUUACUACUACCUGAAACAUUGAACAUUGGCUGAAAUUUCAAAUUCGAUACUGGUAACGUCAGGACCGACGUCUGAAGA